AUCGCUUUCAGCAGGUUAGUUGUUCUCUCCCGGGCAGGAUAGGCUGGAGUUCUUAUCAGUAAAGAAUGUUCAGCUGGCCGAUGAACAUUUGACAGACGUGUAGGAGAACCUGUGCACUGCAUUCAGUCAAUUGCUGUGGAGUAACAUUUCUGGGACAUGAUAUGAACAGUGAAGACCGGAUUCAUUCACUGGGUGUUUUCUGUCUGGAAAACUGUCAAGACUGCUGAGAGCAUACGGGAAACAGCGAUGGACAGGCGGAUGAUCUGCAAUGGCCUCCACUAAUGGCUUCAAGAAGGAAUUAAUAUCAUUCUUUCACACCGGUGACCCGCGCUUGCCGCAACUUUGUCAAAACACACUCAAGCG